rnacentral:rRNA from 1 species
GGAAGAGUUUGAUCCUGGCUCAGAUUGAACGCUGGCGGCAUGCCUUACACAUGCAAGUCGAACGGUAACGCGGGGCAACCUGGCGACGAGUGGCGAACGGGUGAGUAAUGCAUCGGAACGUGCCCAGUAGUGGGGGAUAGCCCGGCGAAAGCCGGAUUAAUACCGCAUACGACCUACGGGUGAAAGCGGGGGAUCGGAAGACCUCGCGCUAUUGGAGCGGCCGAUGUCAGAUUAGGUAGUUGGUGGGGUAAAGGCCUACCAAGCCUACGAUCUGUAGCUGGUCUGAGAGGGCGACCAGCCACACUGGGACUGAGACACGGCCCAGACUCCUACGGGAGGCAGCAGUGGGGAAUUUUGGACAAUGGGCGCAAGCCUGAUCCAGCCAUGCCGCGUGCGGGAAGAAGGCCUUCGGGUUGUAAACCGCUUUUGUCAGGGAAGAAACGCUCCGGGCUAAUACCCUGGGGUAAUGACGGUACCUGAAGAAUAAGCACCGGCUAACUACGUGCCAGCAGCCGCGGUAA